GAUGAACGCUAGCUACAGGCUUAACACAUGCAAGUCGAGGGGCAUCAGGAAGAAAGCUUGCUUUCUUUGCUGGCGACCGGCGCACGGGUGAGUAACACGUAUCCAACCUGCCCUUUACUCGGGGAUAGCCUUUCGAAAGAAAGAUUAAUACCCGAUGGUAUAAUUAUUCCGCAUGGUUUGAUUAUUAAAGGAUUCCGGUAAAGGAUGGGGAUGCGUUCCAUUAGGUUGUUGGUGAGGUAACGGCUCACCAAGCCUUCGAUGGAUAGGGGUUCUGAGAGGAAGGUCCCCCACAUUGGAACUGAGACACGGUCCAAACUCCUACGGGAGGCAGCAGUGAGGAAUAUUGGUCAAUGGGCGCUAGCCUGAACCAGCCAAGUAGCGUGAAGGAUGAAGGCUCUAUGGGUCGUAAACUUCUUUUAUAUUAGAAUAAAGUGCAGUAUGUAUACUGUUUUGUAUGUAUAAUAUGAAUAAGGAUCGGCUAACUCCGUGCCAGCAGCCGCGGUAAUACGGAGGAUCCGAGCGUUAUCCGGAUUUAUUGGGUUUAAAGGGAGCGUAGGUGGACUGGUAAGUCAGUUGUGAAAGUUUGCGGCUCAACCGUAAAAUUGCAGUUGAUACUGUCAGUCUUGAG
rnacentral:rRNA from 1 species